GGUUCACCCAAACGUCACGUCCGGGACGCCACAUCCGGUCUUUGUUUUUUCACGUUCGUGAUGUCACAUCCGGCCUUUUUGGCGGCAUAAUAUGGCAUAUGGCAGGCUCGGAGUGCACGAAGCGGUGGAUCGCUUAUUUUUCGGGCUUUUGCUUCUCGGACCGCCACACCGGCCAGCCAGUGCUACAGUGUCCUAAUGCAGAGAACGUAUAUUACACGGAACUGCGCUCCUUCAGAGUUAUUUAGAGUCUUUGUCAGAAGCACAUAACAGUAACAUUACUUGGUUACGGUGCUGCUACAUGGCAGAAUAUAUGAAUGGCAGAUGUCCCGAGUGCGGCAUCUCCAGCUUCUUGAGACGGGCACGUGGUAGUGCCACGAGUGGGAGGACGUACCGCAGGCGUGGGGUGGCUACUGCAUGGUACAGCCGCAGAGCCCACCUAGUGGUGCAGCUCUGUCCUCGGGCAACAAGCUGGGAGACUGCCUUGUGGACCCGGAGGACCUGGACAUGCAGGGUCUUGACAGCAGGCAGCCAGGUCAGCCGGUGAUGAACGUGUAGCCCCGGGUACGUCACUGCCGGGCUUCAAGGUCGCCUUCCAGUUGCAGCUGUGUAGCGGGCGGUUGCUCUUGGGUGGAGCAGCAUGGCCUCCGUCUUCCUUGCCGAGAUGGCAAGGCCAAUGCCGCUCAGGUAAGCAGCGGCGGUGUCGAGGGCUCUUUGCAGAGCCGAGCGCGCACUGCUGUGGCUGUGUGGUGGAUUUCGCACACAUAGGCCGAUGUGGUCCGCGUUGAUGGAGGUAUUCACGUGGUUGUGGGGGUCAGUCUGCAGGACAGCAGGCAGUCGGGCCAGGUUGAACAGGAAAUGGCUCACCACUGAUCCUUGUGGGACGCCCUCUACCAAAUAGGUCCAGGGCCUGCUGAACGACUGGAUAGGGCCGGCCGUCAAAGGCCCCCUUCAUGCCGAUAAGCACCAGGAGCACGGCGUCACCGCAGGCCUUGGCCUCUUCCAGCGUGGAGACCACGUCCACGAUGGAGUCCGCACUGCAUCAGCUCCGCCGGAAGCCUAUCUGCUCAUCGGCCAGAAAGCAAUGGCCUCCAUCAGCUUGCAAGCAGCAGAGGAAGCCAUCAUCUGGUGCUGUGUACAGCAAGCACAUGCUUCGGGCAAGGAGGGAGCCAGCACCAUAUCUACAUCAGCAAGAACCUCGGUGCUCAAAAUAAACAUUUUCUGUGCAAA